UAACAAGGAUUCCCCUAGUAACUGCGAGUGAAGCGGGAAAAGCUCAAAUUUAAAAUCUGGCAGUCUUUGGCUGUCCGAGUUGUAAUCUAGAGAAGUAUUAUCCGCGCUGGACCGUGUACAAGUCUCCUGGAAUGGGGCGUCAUAGAGGGUGAGAAUCCCGUCUUUGACACGGACUGCCAGGGCUUUGUGAUGUGCUCUCAAAGAGUCGAGUUGUUUGGGAAUGCAGCUCAAAAUGGGUGGUAAAUUCCAUCUAAAGCUAAAUAUUGGCGAGAGACCGAUAGCGAACAAGUACCGUGAGGGAAAGAUGAAAAGAACUUUGGAAAGAGAGUUAAACAGUACGUGAAAUUGCUGAAAGGGAAACGCUUGAAGUCAGUCGCGUUGGCCAGGGAUCAACCCUUGCUCUUUUGCUUGGCUUACUUUCUGGUCGAUGGGUCAGCAUCAAUUUUGACUGGUGGAAAAAGUUCAAGGGAAUGUGGCAUCUUCGGAUGUGUUAUAGCCUUUGUUCGCAUACAUCAGUUGGGAUUGAGGAACUCAGCACGCCGCAAGGCCGGGUUUUUAACCACGUACGUGCUUAGGAUGCUGGCAUAAUGGCUUUAAUCGACCCGUCUUGAAACACGGACCAAGGAGUCUAACAUGCCUGCGAGUGUUUGGGUGAAAAACCCGAGCGCGUAAUGAAAGUGAAAGUUGAGAUCCCUGUCGCGGGGAGCAUUGACGCCCGGAUCUGACCUUUUGUGACGAUUCUGCGGUAGAGCAUGUAUGUUGGGACCCGAAAGAUGGUGAACUAUGCCUGAAUAGGGUGAAGCCAGAGGAAACUCUGGUGGAGGCUCGUAGCGAUUCUGACGUGCAAAUCGAUCGUCAAAUUUGGGUAUAGGGGCGAAAGACUAAUCGAACCAUC
rnacentral:rRNA from 1 species